rnacentral:rRNA from 1 species
UGGGGAAUUUUGCACAAUGGGGGAAACCCUGAUGCAGCGACGCCGCGUGAUUUAGAAGGCCUUCGGGUUGUAAAAAUCUUUUGUAUGGGAAGAAAAUGACAGUACCAUACGAAUAAGGACCGGCUAAUUACGUGCCAGCAGCCGCGGUAAUACGUAAGGUCCGAGCGUUGUCCGGAAUCAUUGGGCGUAAAGGGUACGUAGGCGGAUAAGCAAGUUAGAAGUGAAAUCCUAUAGCUCAACUAUAGUAAGCUUUUAAAACUGCUCAUCUUGAGGUAUGGAAGGGAAAGUGGAAUUCCUAGGGUAGCGGUGAAAUGCGCAGAUAUUAGGGGGAAUACCGGUGGCGAAGGCGACUUUCUGGCCAUAUACUGACGCUGAGGUACGAAAGCGUGGGUAGCAAACAGG